GGGUUCCCAAACUUUUUCACUCAGGCCCCCCUUCCAGCAUUGGGAAACAUCCCGCGCCCCCCUGCGCAUGUGCUCCACUUCUAUUUCUAUGGGCACGAGCACUGUUCAUGACACAAACUGUUCACACCCCUCUUGUUGGCAAGGAUAACAUUUUGCAGGUUUACAGCUAAUUUCCUGCUAUUAUACACAUUUUGCAGGUUUAAAGCUAAUUCCCUGCUAUUAUACACAUUUUGCAGGUUUACAGCUAAUUCCCUGCUAUUAUACACAUUUUGCAGGUUUACAGCUAAUUCCCUGCUAUUAUACACAUUUUGCAGGUUUACAGCUAAUUCCCUGCUAUUAUACACAUUUUGCAGGUUUACAGCUAAUUCCCUGCUAUUAUACACAUUUUGCAGGUUUAAAGCUAAUUCCCUGCUAUUAUACACAUUUUGCCGUGUCUUAUAUGUGUUCAUGUGAUAUUUGAG